AGCAGCCGCGGUAAUUCCAGCUCCAAUAGCGUAUAUUAAAGUUGUUGCAGUUAAAAAGCUCGUAGUUGAACUUCAGGCCUGGCUGGACGGUCCGCCUUCUGGGUGAGUACUGUCUGUGGUCGGGUCCUACCUUCUGGCGAAGCGUCAUGGCCUUCACCGGCCGUGGCGGGGAACCAGGACUUUUACUGUGAAAAAAAUUGAGUGUUCAAAGCAGGCACGCGCUUGAAUACAUUAGCAUGGAAUAAUGGAAUAGGACAGUGGUUCUAUUUGUUGGUUUCUAGGACCGUUGUAAUGAUUAAUAGGGAUAGUUGGGGGCAUUAGUAUUCAAUUGUCAGAGGUGAAAUUCUUGGAUUUAUUGAAGACUAACUACUGCGAAAGCAUUUGCCAAGGAUGUUUUCAUUAAUCAAGAACGAAAGUUAGGGAUCGAAGACGAUCAGAUACCGUCGUAGUCUUAACCAUAAACUAUAGCCGAUAGGGAUCGGAUGAUGUUAAUUUUUAAUGACUNAUUCGGCUACCG
rnacentral:rRNA from 1 species